CUCUGGGUCACAUUCGAGUACAUUAUAUCUGACCUCAACUUAACUUUCCGUUUAAAAAAAAAAAAGAAGUACCUUGUUUGUUAAAUGAUUGUGUUUAUAAUAGCACUUUAGGUACACAAAUCCAUAUACAAAAACACAUGUCAAGGUAUUUUGCUUUUUUUUUUACUUUAGAAGGUGUUAUUGCACAUUCUUUAAUUCCUCGGUAGGUGACGGAAGGAGGAGUUGAUUGCUGCACAGAAGUUGAUCGAAAUGACUAAAAGCGAUCACUUCAUCUGAGAGAAGUGUGUUCUUGGGGUAUAGUUGGUUGUUCUGCUAAUUAGGGAUUAAUUCUGAACAUACUAUCGCUCGGUUAAUUGGAGUCGAUUUGGAAAGCAAGUGCUCUUAGACGAGAUAAGGGUAUCGAUAGCCAUAAACACGCCGGGGUGUUCUGGAGUCACGUGACGGUCACAUGUAUAGGCAUUGGGACUAGUUCUGAAAAGCUGAAAACGCUCAUUAAGAGUUGUGUGAGUCGGUAUUCAAUAUUUUUAACCCUUGUUGUUCAUCAAGCUUAAAUGGAUAUACUAUACAAAAGUGGUAAUUGUUGAGAAAAGAAAAGAAAAGAAAAAACCUUGGCUUUUUGUUGUAAAAUGUCUUAUUAUUAUUAUUUUACAACAAAAUGGUGCACAUGUGGACAUCUUUGUCUUAAUUUAAACUUCUUCAAAUCUGGGUCUAGCCCACAGAGAUGAUUUUAAGGGAGGCUAGAUGCAUUAUGUUCAUAAUGGAGCUCAGAGUACUGCACCUUAAAAGUCGGUAAUGAUGGGUCCAGAGUAAAAUGCUAAGCUAAGUGUGGUUCAUGUAAAAGGGGGCCAUUAUUUUCAAUAUGGAAAUCCGUAAAGGUAAUGCCCUGCUAUUCAUGGUGGUCAUUAACUUUCAGAUAAUGGCCUCUUCUCGACCUCUCGCUCUCCCUUCCAGGUGUCAAUGAGUUUGCUGAAAAUAUGCUAACAGGCAUUUCCUAGGCUUUUGCUCCACUAAGAAAGCAAUGUCCCCAUAUCCUGUCCACAUUUCAUCCACUCAGGGUGAUUUAGGGCCUACACACACACACACACACACACACACACACAC
ensembl:lncRNA